rnacentral:rRNA from 1 species
UGCCCAAUGAUUUAUUAAAUGGCUGCAGUAUAAUGACUGUACAAAGGUAGCAUAAUCAAUAGUUUCUUAAUUAGAAGCUGGAAUGAAAGAAUUAACGAGAAAUUAGCUGUCUCUAUUUAAUAUUUAAAAUUUUAUUUUUAAGUUAAAAAGCUUAAAUUUUAUUGAAAGACGAGAAGACCCUAUAGAGUUUUAUAUUUAAAAUUUAAUUAUUUAAUAUAAAUUUAAGAAUAUUUUAUUGGGGUGAUAUAAAAACUUAAGUAACUUUUUAUUUAUAAUUACAAUUAUAAUUGAAUUAUUGAUCCAUAUUAAUGAUUAUAAGAUUAAAUUACCUUAGGGAUAACAGCGUAAUAUUUUUUUAAAGUUCUUAUUAAAAAAAAUGUUUGCGACCU